AGGGUUUGAUCAUGGGCUCAGAAUGAACGCUGGCGGCGUGCCUAACACAUGCAAGUCGAGCGAGAAAGCUUCUUCGGAAGUGAGUACAGCGGCGGACGGGUGAGUAACACGUGAGAAUCUACCCUUUAGUGAAGAAUACUCUCGAGAAAUCGAGGUUAAUACUGCAUACGUCCCUCCGGGGAGAAAGGUGGCUUUAUGCUGCCGCUAAAGGAUGAGCUUGCGGGCUAUUAGCUUGUUGGUGAGGUAAAGGCUCACCAAGGCUAUGAUGGCUAGCCGGCCUGAGAGGGUGUUCGGCCACAUUGGAACUGAGAUACGGUCCAGACUCCUACGGGAGGCAGCAGUGGGGAAUAUUGCGCAAUGGGCGAAAGCCUGACGCAGCGACGCCGCGUGGAGGAUGAAGGCUUUUGGGUCGUAAACUCCUGUUAGGUGGAAAGAAAAACCUGUUUUUAAUAGAGACAGGCUAUGACGGUACCACCAAAGAAAGCACCGGCUAACUUCGUGCCAGCAGCCGCGGUAAUACGAGGGGUGUAAGCGUUAUUCGGAAUCACUGGGCGUAAAGGGUGCGUAGACGGCGUAUUAAGUCCGUUGUUAAAUUUUUUCGGCCUAACCGAAAAGCUGCAAUGGAAACUGGUGUGCUAGAGAAUGA
rnacentral:rRNA from 1 species